AUACGUAGGGGGCGAGCGUUGUCCGGAAUGAUUGGGCGUAAAGGGCGCGUAGGCGGCCCGGUAAGUCUGGAGUGAAAGUCCUGUUUUUAAGAUGGGAAUUGCUUUGGAUACUGUCGGGCAUAAGUGCAGGAGAGGUAAGUGGAAUUCCCAGUGUAGCGGUGAAAUGCGUAGAGAUUGGGAGGAACACCAGUGGCGAAGGCGACUUACUGGACUGUAACUGACGCUGAGGCGCGAAAGUGUGGGGAGCAAACAGGAUUAGAUACCCUGGUAGUCCACACUGUAAACGAUGAAUGCUAGGUGUAGGGGGUAUCGACCCCUUCUGUGCCGCAGUCAACACAAUAAGCAUUCCGCCUGGGGAGUACGGCCGCAAGGUUGAAACUCAAAGGAAUUGACGGG
rnacentral:rRNA from 1 species